rnacentral:tRNA from 1 species
AAGUUAGUCCUUUAGGAAAGGGUUUUGGCCGAUAACUAGAAUAAGAAGGUUCGAUUCCUUUCUAGCUUU